AUAUUACUCCCUCCGUUCCAAAAUAGAUGACCCAACUUUGUACUAAAGUUAGUACAAAGUUGGGUCAUCUAUUUUGGAACGGAGGGAGUAUAUG
rnacentral:pre_miRNA from 1 species